rnacentral:tRNA from 1 species
GCGGAUGUAGCUCAGCUGGUAGAGCAAGUGCCUUCCAAGCACUCUGUCGCCCGUUCGAAUCGGGUCAUCCGCUCCA